rnacentral:rRNA from 1 species
ACGUUGAAAAGUGAGCGGAUGAACUGAGGGUAGCGGAGAAAUUCCAAUCGAACUUGGAGAUAGCUGGUUCUCUCCGAAAUAGCUUUAGGGCUAGCCUCAAGUGAUGAUUAUUGGGGGUAGAGCACUGUUUGGACGAGGGGCCCCUCUCGGGUUACCGAAUUCAGACAAACUCCGAAUGCCAAUUAAUUUAACUUGGGAGUCAGAACAUGGGUGAUAAGGUCCGUGUUCGAAAGGGAAACAGCCCAGACCACCAGCUAAGGUCCCAAAAUAUAUGUUAAGUGGAAAAGGAUGUGGCGUUGCCCAGACAACUAGGAUGUUGGCUUAGAAGCAGCCAUCAUUUAAAGAGUGCGUAAUAGCUCACUAGUCGAGUGACACUGCGCCGAAAAUGUAACGGGGCUAAACAUAUUACCGAAGCUGUGGAUUGUCCUUUGGACAAUGGUAGGAGAGCGUUCUAAGGGCGUCGAAGCAUGAUCGCAAGGACAUGUGGAGCACUUAGAAGUGAGAAUGCCGG